GUACCCAUGCCGAACACAGAAGUUAAGCCUCUUAACGCCGAUGGUACUACGAUGGAAACGUCGUGGGAGAGUAGGUAGUCGCCAAACA
rnacentral:rRNA from 1 species